UUAGCAUUAUCGAAGAUAAGACUUAAGAGAACAAGGGCGAGACAUGAAUCGGGUUAUGGGUUUAUAACCAUGACAAACCUUUCAAACCUGGCAGUGGCACCAGACCACGAACCGACGUUCACAUAAAGGGAUAUGAUUACUCCUCCGGAGUUUGGCAAUUCGAAGGCUAUCCUUACGUGCCAAAGGGAUCCUCCUGGUGUUACGAUAAUGCAGAUUCAUGGAGCUUCCGAGGGAGCUACAACUCUGCAACUAAGGAUGCAAGAACCAGGAGACCUCUACUUCAAGUGCGGCGUGUAUGCUGCACCAGUUAAUUCCAGCAACUAUAUGGAAUCAAGAAGGAGAGACAUCAAACUCUAACAAGAAAUGACGACAAAAGGAACAAUGUAAAUUAUUUCCUAAUUGUGCUACCUAAUCGAACCAUGUGAACCUAUAAUCCUCAGUUUAUUCAACAGAACCUACUGUUUAUCAGCUCUAUGGUUUCUAAAUUCUGUAGAGAUCCAUCAGAAGUUCAAAAUAUACCAAAAUCAAUGAACAACUAACUAUCGAAAUACGAAAUAUAAGCUACAGAGACAACUCAACUUACAUUCUGCUAGUAGAAUAAAUU